UGGGGAAUUUUGGACAAUGGGCGAAAGCCUGAUCCAGCAAUGCCGCGUGUGUGAAGAAGGCCUUUGGGUUGUAAAGCACUUUUGUCCGGAAAGAAAUGGCUCUGGUUAAUACCUGGGGUCGAUGACGGUACCGGAAGAAUAAGGACCGGCUAACUACGUGCCAGCAGCCGCGGUAAUACGUAGGGUCCAAGCGUUAAUCGGAAUUACUGGGCGUAAAGCGUGCGCAGGCGGUUGUGCAAGACCGAUGUGAAAUCCCCGAGCUUAACUUGGGAAUUGCAUUGGUGACUGCACGGCUAGAGUGUGUCAGAGGGGGGUAGAAUUCCACGUGUAGCAGUGAAAUGCGUAGAGAUGUGGAGGAAUACCGAUGGCGAAGGCAGCCCCCUGGGAUAACACUGACGCUCAUGCACGAAAGCGUGGGGAGCAAACAGG
rnacentral:rRNA from 1 species